GAGCUGUCGGAUCGACGAAGCUGUUGUUGGCCCUCAUGGUGCUGAGUAUGCAUACCACCAGUACCCAUACCCAUUCCAGUACCUUGGGUUCCAUACUGAUCUCCACCCAUAGCCCCCAUUCCAGUACCACCCUGAGUUCCAUAGGCUCCACCACCAGUGGUCCCCAUACCAGUACCUUGGCCUUGGGUUCCAUAUUCUCCACCACCUAUGCCCCCCAUACCUUGCUGAGUUCCAUAGGCACCAGUACUGCCCAUGCCCCCACUUUCUUGGACCCGGUUUCCAUAUUCAUCAGUCUGGCGCA
rnacentral:lncRNA from 1 species